UUAAAAAACUCUCCUGCCUACCUAAAAAUGAGGAGCUGCCUUUGGAAGUCUAGAACCCCCAGCAUGAACAUCAUCAUCUCUGCCUUCCUCGGCUGCCUCGCUUUAGCACCAGCUGCCCCACAUGAUUCAAAGGUCAGAUGGUGUUUGACGUCGAACCAGGAGCUGCGUAAGUGCAAUGACCUCGCGACCACAACUAUGCAGCUGGCCUGCGUGAAGCGCGAUGGACAUCAUGAAUGCAUCAGAUCCAUCAAGGAUGGUGAAGCAGAUGCCAUCACUCUGGACGGAGGAGAUAUCUACAAAGCCGGCCUCAAAAACUACGACCUUCAUCCUGUCUAUGCCGAAGACUAUGGCGAAGACUCCUGCCCCUACGCCGUUGCCGUGGUGAAGAAAGGCACGCGUUUUAAAUUCAGUGAACUCCGUGGUAAGAGGUCGUGCCACACUGGGCUGGGGAAAUCCGCAGGUUGGAUCGUUCCCAUCGGCACAUUCCUGUCCAGAAACCAGAUCAAAUGGGCCGGCAUUGAGGAUAAACCUUUAGAACAGGCGGUGAUGGAGUUUUUCUCAGCCAGCUGCGUCCCCGGAGCCACUAAGAGCACUAGACUGUGUCAGCUGUGCAAAGGUGACUGCUCACGCUCACACGAGGAGCCGUACUAUGAUGAUGGUGGAGCUUUCCAGUGCCUAAAGGAUGGAGCUGGAGACAUCGCUUUUGUGCAGCACCUGACUGUCCCAGCUGCUGAGAAGGACCAGUAUGAGCUGCUCUGUAAAGACGACACCAGGAAGAGUAUUGAUGAGUAUAAAACCUGCCACCUGGCCCAAAUCCCUGCCCGUGCUGUGGUUACUCGAAGGGGUUUCAUACUGCCCCCAUGCCUCACUGAAAGGAAUUCUUUAUUCAAGGAAGCUGGCGCCUUCUCCUCUGAGGGUUACACAGCUAAAAAUCUCAUGUUCAGAGACUCUACAAAAAGGCUGGUGCAGCUUCCUAAGAUCAUGGAUGCUUUCCUUUAUCUCGGAGCACAGUACACGGCCAGCGUCCGCUCCCUGCAGAAAGGGCUGAGCACCGACAGCACUUCUCGGUACAUAAAGUGGUGCGCUGUGGGCCAUGCUGAGACGGCAAAGUGCGACUUGUGGUCAGUCAACAGCAUGGAUGACAGCGGCAACGUCAGGGUUGAGUGCCAGAAUGGACAGAGCGUGGACGAGUGCAUCAGUAAAAUCAUGCGUAAAGAGGCUGAUGCCAUGGCCAUCGAUGGAGGACAGGUGUAUACUGCGGGGAAGUGUGGCCUUGUCCCAGCCAUGGUGGAGCAGUAUGAUGAAUCAAAGUGCACUUUGGGAAGUGAUGCCUCCUCCUACUACGCAGUGGCUGUAGUGCGUAAAGGCUCUGGAGUGACCUGGAACAAUCUCAAAGGCAAAAAGUCCUGCCACAACAGCCUGGGCCGCACCGCAGGCUGGAACAUCCCCAUGGCCCUCCUCCACAACAGCACCGGACAAUGUGACUUCUCUAAGUACUUCAGUCAGAGUUGUGCUCCUGGUGCUGAUCCUGAGUCCAAUCUCUGCGCUCUGUGCAAAGGCAGCGGUAAAGGUGUCAGGAGCGAGAGAGUCAGAUGCAAGCCCAGCACAGAGGAGCUUUACUACGGCUAUGCUGGAACAUUUAGGUGUCUGGUUGAAGGUGGUGGUGAUGUGGCCUUUGUUAGGCACAGUACUGUAGGAGAAAAUACAGAUGGCAAGGGUCCAGACUGGGCUUCCAGACUGAAAUCAUCAGACUUUGAGCUGAUCUGCCCUGGAGGUUCUGCUCCUGUUCCUGUCUCAGACUUCGCCAGGUGUAACCUUGCCAAGGUUCCAGCUCAUGCUGUUGUAACUCGCCCUGAGUCGCGUGGUGAUGUGGUGGCUGUUCUCAAGGAGCAGCAGGGUAUGUUUGGAGAUGCCGUUGCUGAUGCCCCAUUCAAGAUGUUCCAGUCAGAGAAUGGUAAAAACCUGCUCUUUAAGGACUCCACUAAAUGUCUCCAAGAGAUUCCGGCAACAAAGACCUUUAGGGAAUUCCUAGGUGACGCCUACGUGGCCACCAUGGAUUUUCUCCGCCAGUGUUCCAGCAAUGUGCCAGAUCUGGAAAAUGCCUGCACCUACCGUACCUGCCAUUAGGAACACCAGCAUGUACUCAGACCAGAGCUGCCUGAACAUCAUCCCAGGUGUAACCAAGAAGACACAUGUGCAAGAAACAGCCUGCUGCAACCAUAGGAAAAAAGGUGAUGGCCAUUUACAACUGUCCAUGACCAGAACCAAAAACUCAAGGACUACAGAGCAAGCUUUAUGGCCACAUCUGAUCUCUGGAUUCCAGCAUCGGGUCCCCAAAGAGCCCCAGACCAAGAGUCCACACCUGAGUAAGGUUUACUUUAUGCCGUUUUAUGUUGUUAAUGUAAUUUUAUGAAGGUUUACUUCAAUGUCGUUAGACAGGGUCCACUUUCUUGACCUGCUAGGAGGUGCAAUACAGAGACAGAAUGCAAUGGGGAAAUCACAAACAUCGCAGUUACACAAGACAAUUUUCUGUUAACAAUAUUUACAUGGAAAUUUCACAGGAAAUUAAUAUCCUAUGAUGUCAAAUGUUUAUGUAUAAUGAUAUGUGAAUGUGUACUUUAUGCUUUUUUCUGAACUGUACAUGAAAUAUACAAAAAUGCAAUGUUUCAUCUUAAAUUAAUGUAAAUUUAUGCCUGAAACAUGAUUUUCAAAGUUGUAUAAUACAGCACUUGCAUGAUACAGACAUAAAAUGAUUUUUUUUUUCUUUAAGAUAUCGCUCAAAGGCAAUCUUGAAUCCUAUAAUAAAGCCUUUUCUGCUUCUCUCUCUAAUGUUGCCAUGGUGAUUUAUCUU